CCUACGGGAGACAGCAGUGAGGAAUAUUGGUCAAUGGACGAGAGCCUGAACCAGCCAAGUAGCGUGAAGGAUGACUGCCCUAUGGGUUGUAAACUUCUUUUAUAUGGGAAUAAAACAGGGUAUGCAUACCCUCUUGUAUGUACCAUAUGAAUAAGGAUCGGCUAACUCCGUGCCAGCAGCCGCGGUAAUACGGAGGAUCCGAGCGUUAUCCGGAUUUAUUGGGUUUAAAGGGAGCGUAGGUGGACUGUUAAGUCAGUUGUGAAAGUUUGCGGCUCAACCGUAAAAUUGCAGUUGAAACUGGCAGUCUUGAGUACAGUAGAGGUGGGCGGAAUUCGUGGUGUAGCGGUGAAAUGCUUAGAUAUCACGAAGAACUCCGAUUGCGAAGGCAGCUCACUGGACUGCGACUGACACUGAUGCUCGAAAGUGUGGGUAUCAAACAGGAUUAGAUACCCGAGUAGUC
rnacentral:rRNA from 1 species